rnacentral:rRNA from 1 species
GAUGAACGCUGGCGGCGUGCCUAAUACAUGCAAGUCGAGCGAAUGGAUUAAGAGCUUGCUCUUAUGAAGUUAGCGGCGGACGGGUGAGUAACACGUGAGUAACCUGCCCAUAAGACUGGGAUAACUCCGGGAAACCGGGGCUAAUACCGGAUAACAUUUUGAACCGCAUGGUUCGAAAUUGAAAGGCGGCUUCGGCUGUCACUUAUGGAUGGACCAGCAUCGCAUUAGCUAGUUGGUGAGGUAACGGCUCACCAAGGCAACGAUGCGUAGCCGACCUGAGAGGGUGAUCGGCCACACUGGGACUGAGACACGGCCCAGACUCCUACGGGAGGCAGCAGUAGGGAAUCUUCCGCAAUGGACGAAAGUCUGACGGAGCAACGCCGCGUGAGUGAUGAAGGCUUUCGGGUCGUAAAACUCUGUUGUUAGGGAAGAACAAGUGCUAGUUGAAUAAGCUGGCACCUUGACGGUACCUAACCAGAAAGCCACGGCUAACUACGUGCCAGCCGCCGCCGUAA